rnacentral:rRNA from 1 species
UACGUAGGGGCCAAGCGUUGUCCGGAUUUAUUGGGCGUAAAGAGCUCGUAGGCGGUUGGGUAAGUCGGGUGUGAAAACUCCAGGCUCAACUUGGAGAUGCCACCCGAUACUGCUCUGACUUGAGUUCGGUAGGGGAGUGGGGAAUUCCUGGUGUAGCGGUGAAACGCGCAGAUAUCAGGAGGAACACCGGUGGCGAAGGCGGUUCUCUGGGAAUGUCCUGACGCUGAGGAGCGAAAGUGUGGGGAGCGAACAGG